rnacentral:rRNA from 1 species
UCGAGGGGCAGCGAGAGUGAUAGCAAUAUUACUUGUCGGCGACCGGUGCACGGGUGCGUAACGCGUAUGCAACCUACCAUCAACAGGGGGAUAACACUGAGAAAUUGGUACUAAUACCCCAUAAUAUCUCAUGCGGCAUCGCAUGGGGUUGAAAACUCCGGUGGUUGAUGAUGGGCAUGCGUUGUAUUAGCUGGUUGGUGAGGUAACGGCUCACCAAGGCGACGAUACAUAGGGGGACUGAGAGGUUAACCCCCCACACUGGUACUGAGACACGGACCAGACUCCUACGGGAGGCAGCAGUGAGGAAUAUUGGUCAAUGGGCGCGAGCCUGAACCAGCCAAGUCGCGUGAGGGAAGACGGUCCUAUGGAUUGUAAACCUCUUUUGUCGGGGAGCAAAAGACGCCACGUGUGGCGUUCCGAGAGUACCCGAAGAAAAAGCAUCGGCUAACUCCGUGCCAGCAGCCGCGGUAAUACGGAGGAUGCGAGCGUUAUCCGGAUUUAUUGGGUUUAAAGGGUGCGCAGGCGGAAGAUCAAGUCAGCGGUAAAAUUGAGAGGCUCAACCUCUUCGAGCCGUUGAAACUGGUUUUCUUGAGUGAGCGAGAAGUAUGCGGAAUGCGUGGUGUAGCGGUGAAAUGCAUAGAUAUCACGCAGAACUCCGAUUGCGAAGGCAGCAUACCGGCGCUCAACUGACGCUCAUGCACGAAAGUGUGGGUAUCGAACAGGAUUAGAUACCCUG